UAACCUGCCCAAGAGAUCGGGAUAACACCUGGAAACAGAUGCUAAUACCGGAUAAUAACAGAUGAUGCCUAUCAACUGUUUAAAAGAUGGUUCUGCUAUCACUNUUGGAUGGACCUGCGGUGCAUUAGCUAGUUGGUAGGGUAACGGCCUACCAAGGCGAUGAUGCAUAGCCGAGUUGAGAGACUGAUCGGCCACAUUGGGACUGAGACACGGCCCAAACUCCUACGGGAGGCAGCAGAC
rnacentral:rRNA from 1 species